rnacentral:rRNA from 1 species
UGGGGAAUAUUGGGGCAAAUGGGGCGAAAGCCUGACCCAGCAACGCCGCGUGAGGGAAGAAGGUUUUCGGAUUGUAAACCUCUGUCCUUGGGGACGAAGGAAGUGACGGUACCCAAGGAGGAAGCCCCGGCUAACUACGUGCCAGCAGCCGCGGUAAUACGUAGGGGGCAAGCGUUAUCCGGAUUUACUGGGUGUAAAGGGAGCGUAGACGGAACGGCAAGUUUGAAGUGAAAUACCUGGGCUUAACCCGGGAACUGCUUUGAAAACUGUCGAUCUAGAGUGUCGGAGAGGUAAGUGGAAUUCCUGGUGUAGUAGUGAAAUGCGUAGAUAUCAGGAAGAACACCGGAGGCGAAGGCGGCUUACUGGACGAUAACUGACGUUGAGGCUCGAAAGCGUGGGGAGCAAACAGGAUUAGAUACCCUGGUAGU